GAUGAACGCUGGCGGCGUGCUUAACACAUGCAAGUCGAACGGAAAGGCUCCUGCUUGCAGGGGUACUCGAGUGGCGAACGGGUGAGUAACACGUGGGUGAUCUGCCCUGCACUUCGGGAUAAGCCUGGGAAACUGGGUCUAAUACCGGAUAGGACGAUGGUUUGGAUGCCAUUGUGGAAAGUUUUUUCGGUGUGGGAUGAGCUCGCGGCCUAUCAGCUUGUUGGUGGGGUAAUGGCCUACCAAGGCGUCGACGGGUAGCCGGCCUGAGAGGGUGUACGGCCACAUUGGGACUGAGAUACGGCCCAGACUCCUACGGGAGGCAGCAGUGGGGAAUAUUGCACAAUGGGCGCAAGCCUGAUGCAGCGACGCCGCGUGGGGGAUGACGGCCUUCGGGUUGUAAACUCCUUUCGCUAGGGACGAAGCGCAAGUGACGGUACCUGGAGAAGAAGCACCGGCUAACUACGU
rnacentral:rRNA from 1 species